rnacentral:rRNA from 1 species
GAUCAUGGCUCAGGAUGAACGCUGGCGGCGUGCUUAACACAUGCAAGUCGAACGAAGUGUUUAUUCAAAGUUCUUCGGGAUAGAGAAUAAAUUACUUAGUGGCGGACGGGUGAGUAACGCGUGGGUAACCUGCCUCACACAGGGGGAUAACAGUUGGAAACGACUGCUAAUACCGCAUAAGACCACAGCACCGCAUGGUGCAGGGGUAAAAGAUUUAUCGGUGUGAGAUGG